GAUUUCUGGUGAUGUUCGCCUAGCCCGCCGCCGUUAGGUGUGUGAGUGCAGGGUCGAAUACACCAUCCUUCUAGAACAUGCAUACCCGUAGCUCUUCAUUGAUGUUAUGCGGUAUACACUAUCUAGAUCGUUUACUUUGAAAAAAUUAGAGUGUUUAAAGCAGGCUGCUUGCUGUGAAUACAUUAGCAUGGAAUAAUAAUUUAGGACUUCGGUUUUAUUUUAUUGGUUUCUACUACUGAAGUAAUGAUUGAUAGGGAUAGUUGGGGGUGCUAGUAUUCAGUGGCCAGAGGUGAAAUUCUCGGAUUCACUGAAGACUAACUUAUGCGAAAGCAUU
rnacentral:rRNA from 1 species